AAGUGAUUCUUACUAGUUUUCAAGCAUAUUCUUUACACUAAAAGGGCUCAUAUUUAAAGAUUUGAUCUCGUUCCAAUCCCACAUAAGCUUGUUAGAUGGAUAUAUUUAGAUGAUAUAUAUGAAUCUGUUAUUAAAGUCAAAUAACAUAGUAUUUAGACCUGUGAUCUAGUUUUUCAUAAAAUUUUUACAAAUGUUAUUUGGAAACCAGAUAGUUUACAUAUAUAUAAAAAUAAGGAUAUGAGCUGCCUUAUUCUGACAAUUAAAAUGCAUUUAUGUAAAGGGAUAGAUGUUUGAUAUUAAUAGCAUAUUAAUAGCAACUGUCAUUAAUGACAGUCUAAUA
rnacentral:lncRNA from 1 species